GACGAACGCUGGCGGCGUGCCUAACACAUGCAAGUCGAACGGAACUGCUUCGAAGGAUUUCUUCGGAAUGACAUUGAUUCAGUUUAGUGGCGGACGGGUGAGUAACGCGUGAGUAACCUGCCUUCAAGAGGGGGAUAACAUUCUGAAAAGAAUGCUAAUACCGCAUGACAUAUGAUUGUCGCAUGGCAGACAUAUCAAAGAUUUAUCGCUUGAAGAUGGACUCGCGUCCGAUUAGUUAGUUGGUGAGGUAACGGCCCACCAAGUCGACGAUCGGUAGCCGACCUGAGAGGGUGAUCGGCCACAUUGGAACUGAGAGACGGUCCAA
rnacentral:rRNA from 1 species